UACAGAGGGUGCGAGCGUUAAUCGGAAUUACUGGGCGUAAAGCGCGCGUAGGCGGCUUUGCAAGUCGGGUGUGAAAUCCCCAGGCUUAACCUGGGAACUGCAUUCGAGACUGCAUUGCUAAAGUAUGGGAGAGGGAAGUGGAAUUUCAGGUGUAGCGGUGAAAUGCGUAGAUAUCUGGAGGAAUACCGGUGGCGAAGGCGGCAUCCUGGACCGGCAUUGACGCUGAGGAGCGAAAGCCAGGGGAGCAAACGGG
rnacentral:rRNA from 1 species